rnacentral:rRNA from 1 species
GAUGAACGCUGGCGGCGUGCUUAACACAUGCAAGUCGAACGAAAAAUGUAGACGGAAACCUUCGGGCGGAAGCCUUCAUUUCGAGUGGCGGACGGGUGAGUAACUCGUGGUUAACCUGCCUCAUACAGGGGGAUAACAGUUGGAAACGACUGUUAAUACCGCAUAAGACCACAGCAUCGCAUGAUGCGGGGGUAAAAACUCCGGUGGUAUGAGAUGGACCCGCGUUCGAUUAGACAGUUGGCAGGGUAACGGCCCACCAAAGCGACGAUCGAUAGCCGAUCUGAGAGGCUGACCGGCCACAUUGGGACUGAGACACGGCCCAAACUCCUACGGGAGGCAGCAGUGGGGAAUAUUGCACAAUGGGGGAAACCCUGAUGCAGCGACGCCGCGUGAGUGAAGAAGUACUUCGGUAUGUAAAGCUCUAUCAGCAGGGAAGAAAAUGACGGUACCUGAGUAAGAAGCCCCGGCUAACUACGUG